ACGACGCGAUUUCAGGCGAACCAGUAACCUGAUGACCCGAGCAACCUGCCAGACCCAGAGAGAGACCUGAGAACCUGAUCCCAGCGGACCAGGCGAACAAUGCACAUAGCUGACGAACGGAGACCAACAGUGGCGCGAAUUCCAACGAAACCCAGGGCAUUUCCGGCGAACAUGUGCGUUGAAACCCAUCAACCCGAGAAGAGCCCCGAUCGUGAAAUCCAGAAACCUGAAUGAACCAUGGAGGACUGGUGAGCUCUGGAGACACGAUCUCCAGCGACUUGGAGCUGAUUUUCGGUGAAAUCAAGAGAAAUUUUUUGAUGAUGAACUGCGAUUGCACAAAAGGGCUAUGUUUACGCAGGUUCUGAAGAUUAUGGAUUGGAUUAACUGCUAGCUUAAGAGUUCUAAACCUAAAGUCGUUAGGUUUUAGUGCUUUGUACUUAUAAAUGUUUGUACUAUUUUGUAUGUAACAUGUUUAGGAAUUUACUUUUAUUUAGCAAGUUUCCAUGUAUGCUUUCGUGUCAUAUGUGACACAUGUUUCUUUGUAAUUAGUGUAAAGGACAUUAAAGGACUUUUAAUAAAUGUCUAGAGGAAUUUCAGUCA